CCGCAGAGACCAUCUUUGGCCGGAAACCAUGGUUACCGCCGCUCCCCGCUGGUCACCCAACACCGGCGGCUGGGGUUUACCGACAAAACUCAAAGCUCAGGGAUCUUUCUUUUGGAAAGAAGAGGCGCUUCACACUGGGACCGUGCCGUUCACGCAGUUGGCAGAGUGAAGGGAAUCUCGGGCGAUCAUGGUUCGUGUGAGCAAGCGAACUCUCGACUGGAUUUAUUCUUUUAUACUCCUCUUCCUCGUUUUAAUAUCUUGGGGAUUUGUUAUCUAUGCAUCCAAGAUGACAGCUAUUCAGUAUCUAGAGGAGAAUUUGACGCGUAGAAUUUCAUAAUGAUUCUUCUUCUCCGAGAUGACACGUGAUCACUCAUGGACCAAAUAUAACAGAGGCCAAGUGAAAUGUUCUGGCGUCUAUUACUCACAAAGGAAGAACACCGACCAAAAUUAAAUGUUCUACGCUUGCAAUUUGUUGUGAGCAUUGCAAAUAUGGUUCAAUAUAAACUGGUUUUGUGUAUUGGACGAUAGGUUCAGAGGAAAAGGUUUUGAUGUUUUAUUAAUUUAUAAUCUGUCACUUAAUUCUAAUGUGUGUGUGUAUAACAAAACUCUUAUGAAAGAUGUUACCCUCAUAAUAUUAGGUUCUCUAAACAUAAGAUACUGAUAUAUCAUUAAGGAAUUCAACAGAAUGGUGAGCAAGUUAAACUUGUCGCCAUAAAAUUGGAUAAUGCAUGUAACUUGGAUGAAUUUGAGGUGAAGCUGGAUAAAUACGUGAAGAAUGGUUUUAAGAAGAUAUGCGACAAAGUGAGUUGAAGAGGGAGUAUGUAACAAACAUAGGUACAGACUAACGGAGCUAAACAGCCAUUUUAUUCUGGAGGAGAAAGUAGUGCACCCUGCAACAGAUAUGCAAUUAACUGAUGUGAAUUGACCAUAACUGUGCUUGGUAUGGGGACACAGUAAAGGUGCCGCCGUGCUACCCAACUCCAAACUGCAGUUGUAUGCAAGAGAGUAUCAAUCUGGUCAACAGGAUAUGGGGGACCUCAUGAUGACACUACCCAUAGGGGUAACUACAUCUGGCUAAUUAUGAAUCAGAAAUAUGUUGCAUAAAAAACUGGAGCAUAGUUAUUGCCAUAUUGAACACAAUUAUAAUUAUUAGCUUUUUUGUUAUUGGAAUGCUUAUUGGUUUGUAUUUAAUGUACAUCUAUCCAUAGUUGGGCACAUACAUAGCUAUUUUCACUGACAAGCAAAUAAAGUUGUGAAAUUGAAAGUA